UGAAUUAUGUUUUUAUACUUAGCAAUCUCCUCACGCCAAAGGUUGACGUAUUGUUUAAAGUCAAGAUGGUAGAAUUUAAACUUGUAGUAACCACCACACCAGAAGAUGCUAGCUUUAAAGCAUUUGUUUGGAGAAAGAUAAGUCUAUCCUUGCGACAACAACAAAUCUCUUGGAAGCCCUGGUUAACCUUAUAUCAUGCAGAUUGUUAUUGAUGUAUUUGAUGCCAACUAUCCUCACUCUAUAUUUGAUAUGUUUAUGGCAAAUAGCCUAAUUGGACAUUUCUAUUACAAAUUGCUUACUUUAUCUGAUUGCAACAAUAUUUAUCCCAUUUGGAACUGGAGUUUAUUUAAGAUAGAUGUGUAGAUGAAAAUGUCUUAAUGAAGAAAAGACUGAAGCCUAGACUAGUGCGAUUAUAAUGGAUGUUAAUCUCGCAAAUAUGGCGUUGUAUUUUACUGCCAUAUUAAUAACUGUAUGAAAACGUCUGAUAUGAACAAUUUGCAUUCAUUUGUUAUAUUUGCAUGUUCUAAUGUAGAAUAUUUUAAUGUAUUGCACAGCAGACCUUACAAGGCCG